rnacentral:rRNA from 1 species
CGGGUAGCGGAACACGUACACAACCUUCCUUUAAGCGGGGGAGUAGCCCAGAGAAAUUUGGAUUAAUACCCCAUAGAAUAGUGGUGAGGCAUCUUACUAUUAUUAAAGAUUUAUCACUUGAAGAUGGGUGUGCGUCUGAUUAGGUAGUUGGCGGGGUAACGGCCCACCAAGCCAUCGAUCAGUAACUGGUGUGAGAGCACGACCAGUCACACGGGCACUGAGACACGGGCCCG